rnacentral:rRNA from 1 species
CCUUGACAUACUAAGAACUUUCCAGAGAUGGAUUGGUGCCUUCGGGAACUUUAGAUACAGGUGCUGCAUGGCUGUCGUCAGCUCGUGUCGUGAGAUGUUGGGUUAAGUCCCGNAACGAGCGCAACCCUUUUCCUUAUUUGCCAGCAGGUCAUACCGGGAACUUUAAGGAUACUGCCAGUGACAAACUGGAGGAAGGCGGGGACGACGUCAAGUCAUCAUGGCCCUUACGGCCAGGGCUACACACGUGCUACAAUGGUCGGUACAAAGGGUUGCUACCUCGCGAGAGGAUGCUAAUCUCAAAAAGCCGAUCGUAGUCCGGAUCGCAGUCUGCAACUCGACUGCGUGAAGUCGGAAUCGCUAGUAAUCGCGGAUCAGAAUGCCGCGGUGAAUACGUUCCCGGGCCUUGUACACACCGCCCGUCACACCAUGGGAGUUUGUUGCACCAGAAGUAGGUAGUCUAACCGCAAGGAGGACGCUUACCACGGUGUGGCCGAUGACUGGGGUGAAGUCGUAACAAGGUAAGCGUAGAUGA